rnacentral:rRNA from 1 species
UACAGGGGGGGGCAAGCGUUGUUCGGAAUUACUGGGCGUAAAGGGUCUGUAGGUGGCCAACUAAGUCAGACGUGAAAUCCCUCAGCUUAACUGGGGAACUGCGUCUGAUACUGGAUGGCUUGAGUGUGGGAGAGGAAUGCGGAAUUCCAGGUGUAGCAGUGAAAUGCGUAGAUAUCAGGAGGAACACCGGUGGUGUAGACGGCUUUCUGGACCGUAACUGACGCUGAGACACGAAAGCGUGGGUAGCAAACAGG